GCCUGAGAUCGAGUUCGUGCUGGUUAGCGUUGAUUCGUUGCUUAGCAAUCUCGAUCAAUGAUUAGGUCGUCGGUUCGAUUCCGACAGGCGGCU
rnacentral:tRNA from 2 species